AAACGGCCAUUAAAAACCGUAAAAUUGGCAGGUAGCAAAGUAAGGUUAGCAACAAACUGCACGUAAACAAAUUGUGACCGGAAAUGACAGUGUAUUGAUGUAUACUGACUUCUAAUCCCCACGGAUACGUAUCAAACUAGUGUAGUGGCAUUCCAUUUUCAGUCCGCGCGUUGGCGACGUACUUUGCUCCUUCCUGAAUCAAGAUGUGCUCCGCCCAAAUGGUCCUCAUCAUUUUGAUUGGCAUUGCCACCAUUGAACCUGUGACUGGUUUUAGUGGUGGUAGUGUUGCCAUGUCCUGUGACACAAUGUUGCCCCAGCAUGGUUCUCCCACACUUGAGAGUGGUCCGUUUAGUGUCCCUAAACAUAUCUGUUCCGGUUUUGCAGGAGAUGAGACUAUAGUGUCACUCAAAGCUGAUCCUGCCAC